UCCGAUAUGGUGUAGUGGCUAACAUUAUCGCCUCUCAGCAAAUAACUGGUCGCGAUAGCCCGGGGUUCAAUUCCCCGUGUCGGAA